rnacentral:rRNA from 1 species
GGUGAACGCUGGCGGCGUGCUUAAGACAUGCAAGUCGAACGGCAGUCUUCGGACUGUAGUGGCGCACGGGUGAGUAACGCGUAACUGACCUACCCCAAAGUCGCGGAUAACGAUUCGAAAGAAUCGCUAAUACGUGAUGUGCUGUCAGAUCCUGUUCUGCCAGUACAGAUUGAUUGCUUUGGGAUGGGGUUGCGUUCCAUCAGCUAGUUGGUGGGGUAAAGGCCCACCAAGGCGACGACGGAUAGCCGGCCUGAGAGGGUGGCCGGCCACAGGGGCACUGAGACACGGGUCCCACUCCUACGGGGGGCAGCAGUUAGGAAUCUUCCACAAUGGGCGAAAGCCUGAUGGAGCGACGCCGCGUGAGGGAUGAAGGUCUUCGGAUCGUAAACCUCUGAAUCAGGGACGAAAGACACUUCGGUGGGAUGACGGUACCUGAGUAAUAGCACCGGCUAACUCCGUGCCAGCAGCCGCGGUAAGAC